rnacentral:rRNA from 1 species
CCUACGGGAGGCAGCAGUGGGGAAUCUUGCGCAAUGGGCGAAAGCCUGACGCAGCCAUGCCGCGUGAAUGAUGAAGGUCUUAGGAUUGUAAAAUUCUUUCACCGGGGACGAUAAUGACGGUACCCGGAGAAGAAGCCCCGGCUAACUUCGUGCCAGCAGCCGCGGUAAUA